rnacentral:rRNA from 1 species
CAGCCGCCGCGGUAAUACGAAGGGGGCUAGCGUUGUUCGGAAUCACUGGGCGUAAAGGGUGCGUAGGCGGGUUUCUAAGUCAGGGGUGAAAUCCUGGAGCUCAACUCCAGAACUGCCCUUGAUACUGGAAGUCUUGAGUAUGGGAGAGGUGAGUGGAACUGCGAGUGUAGAGGUGAAAUUCGUAGAUAUUCGCAAGAACACCAGUGGCGAAGGCGGCUCACUGGCCCAUAACCGACGCUGAGGCACGAAAGCGUGGGGAGCAAACAGGAUUAGAUACCCGAGUAGUCCCUGUCUCUUAUAC